UACGUAGGGUGCGAGCGUUAAUCGGAAUUACUGGGCGUAAAGCGUGCGCAGGCGGUUUUGUAAGCCGGAUGUGAAAUCCCCGGGCUUAACCUGGGAAUGGCAUUCGGGACUGCAAGGCUGGAGUGCGGCAGAGGGGGAUGGAAUUCCGCGUGUAGCAGUGAAAUGCGUAGAUAUGCGGAGGAACACCGAUGGCGAAGGCAAUCCCCUGGGCCUGUACUGACGCUCAUGCACGAAAGCGUGGGGAGCAAACAGG
rnacentral:rRNA from 1 species